AUUGAACGCUGGCGGCAUGCUUUACACAUGCAAGUCGAACGGUAACAGGGAGCUUGCUCCGCUGACGAGUGGCGAACGGGAGAGUAAUGCGUCGGAACGUGCCGAGUAGUGGGGGAUAACGCAUCGAAAGGUGUGCUAAUACCGCAUACGAACUGAGGUUGAAAGUGGGGGACCUUCGGGCCUCACGCUAUUCGAGCGGCCGACGUCUGAUUAGCUAGUUGGUGAGGUAAAGGCUCACCAAGGCGACGAUCAGUAGCGGGUCUGAGAGGAUGAUCCGCCCCACUGGGACUGAGACACGGCCCAGACUCCUACGGGAGGCAGCAGUGGGGAAUUUUGGACAAUGGGCGCAGCCUGAUCCAGCCAUGCCGCGUGUCUGAAGAAGGCCUUCGGGUUGUAAAGGACUCUUGUCCGGGAGCAAAUGCUGGUGGCUAACAUCCACCGGAGCUGAGAGUACCGGAAGAAUAAGCACCGGCUAACUACGUGCCAGCCGCCGCGGUAACAC
rnacentral:rRNA from 1 species